rnacentral:rRNA from 1 species
GUGGGGAAUAUUGGACAAUGGGCGAAAGCCUGAUCCAGCCAUGCCGCGUGUGUGAAGAAGGUCUUCGGAUUGUAAAGCACUUUAAGUUGGGAGGAAGGGCAGUAAGUUAAUACCUUGCUGUUUUGAUGUUACCGACAGAAUAAGCACCGGCUAACUUCGUGCCAGCAGCCGCGGUAAUACGAAGGGUGCAAGCGUUAAUCGGAAUUACUGGGCGUAAAGCGCGCGUAGGUGGUUUUGUAAGUUGGAGGUGAAAUCCCCGGGCUCAACCUGGGAACUGCCUCCAAAACUGCAUGACUAGAGUACGGUAGAGGGUAGUGGAAUUUCCUGUGUAGCGGUGAAAUGCGUAGAUAUAGGAAGGAACACCAGUGGCGAAGGCGACUACCUGGACUGAUACUGACACUGAGGUGCGAAAGCGUGGGGAGCAAACAGGAUUAGAUACCCUAGUAGUCC